AGGGUACCGGGAGGCGCCCGCUGCCGGCCUCCCUCCGGGUCCGCCCUUCUAGGCCCGCGCUGCCCUCUUGCCGGUGCGGCUGGGCUUCCUGAGCCCGGGGGCCUGGGGGACCUGGAGAGGCAAGCCCCCUCCCCCCCCAGCCGCCAGUCAUCGUAACGAACUAAAGUCUCAGCCAAUGCCAAUUCCAGCCACCACCAAAGUUCAAACACUUACCGUUCAAAGCAACAGAGAAAGCAGCUGGUGCUAAAAAAAAAAAAAAAAAAAAAAAAAAUUCCGGUGGAAAAAACAACCCCGAAGGAUAGGGCCAGUUCUUGAAUAUAGAUGCCCUAGGAAAAAAGGCUCAAAAUACCUUUUGACCCCAAAGCUGGGAGCACACUCUCCACCCACCCUGUUCUUGUUUCAAAUGCUUCCUCUCAAGCCAAACCUACUCAAGAAUUGGCUGCUGUGACUAUGCCCACGAGGGUUCAUUUCAUGGGUCACGUGACUGGACUCAGGAUGCCCAGAUAGCUGACAUCAGCGCUCGUGAUUGUCAGGCCUUUGGACUGAGAUGGAAUUACACCACCAGUUCUCCUGGGGUUUCAGCUGGAAGACAGCAGAUCGUGGGACUUCCUGGCCUCCAAAAUCAUGGAGAAGGUGCUCACAGAGGUUAUGAACUGAAGGUGACCCCCCAGAUCCUGAGGACCAGGUGACUUGAGCUUCAGCUUCACUGUUAACCAAACGAGACCACUUCACAGAUGGGUGCUGGAAGCCGAGCCAACACCGUGUCCUGAGAUGCAGACAGCUGUGGUGGGGUAUGAAGAGGAGGCGCAGAAUGUGCCUGAUGAAACUGACCAAGUAGAUGGUCCCUGCGCCAGCCGGAAGGCAGGUGCGGGCUUCAUUCUGACCUGGGCUGACUGUGGGGAAGGUGUGCGCCAGGGUAGGAUAGCGUGCCUUGAACACGCCCCGGACUAUGGAAUGGGUUUUGUUUUCUCUGCCAGCAGAUGCUUUUUUGUAGUGUUGAAGAGCUUGGUGGGAGAGCUAGCACGCAGGGGCACAUGGAAAAUGCACGGCCAGGAUGUCAGCAAUUACAUCACGGUUGCAGUCUGGAAAGGGGUGAUCACUUUGAGCAAGGCACACGCAUUCACAUGACAAUCCAUUAAGACUCCAGCCUGGGUAAACAGCGCGUGCUCUUUAUCUGAUGGUCUCCUCCAUCUACAGCUCGCUGAGGGCUCGAGUCCUGCACGCCAAUUAAACAAACGGGGUUAACUUUUCACUGUUUUAUGAGGUGCUUUCGAUGCCGUUUUUGGUAACGAAGCAAUGGACUCCCCUCCAAAAAACAGAUGCUUUAUUCCUGGGUUUCUUGUGUCUGUCAAGAUACCUGUUGAGCAGCUGAAAAUAGCGUGUGUUUGUAGGGGGAGCUAGCAAGAACAACAAAAGAUAUUUACUUUAAAAACUUUAAAGUUUUCUCAACGUGUGUGCCGUUUGAUCUGUGACAUCUGAGGCCAGAAAAAGACAAGUCUCUAAAAGGAAGAUGUAAGGCAGAAGUUCUCAACUUUGGCUCCACAUCAGAA